UACAGAGGUCCCAAGCGUUGUUCGGAUUCACUGGGCGUAAAGGGUGCGUAGGUGGUUAGGUAAGUCCGAUGUGAAAUCUCCAGGCUCAACCUGGAAAUGGCAUUGGAUACUAUCUAGCUUGAGGAGUGGAGGGGGGACUGGAAUUCUCGGUGUAGCAGUGAAAUGCGCAGAUAUCAGGAGGAACACCGGUGGCGAAGGCGGGUCUCUGGGCCGAUACUGACGCUGAGGAGCGAAAGCGUGGGGAGCGAACAGG
rnacentral:rRNA from 1 species